rnacentral:lncRNA from 1 species
GACAGCCACACCAGUAGGUACAUUUGUCAGGCCAGCAGGAAGCUCUUUAAGCUGGUGGUGACCAGCAGGGGAACCCGUGGGGCAGGGGCAUAUGCACGAGGCUCCAGUGCUGUGCACAGCGCAGUGGGAUGAGCAACGUUCUGCAUCCUCCCCAUCACACUGAUCUGCUCCUACCAGCAACGUAACUGGAGCCCACACCUGCGUUAUUGCUGCAGCAGCACUAGCUUCAGCAGAGCCUGUGCCGUGGGGUUCAGCUGGUGAGAUGCUGCAGGGGGUGGCCGGGGCUCCGAGACCUCCGGAGCCAGGAGCCGGGUGCGUGCUGUAGCCGGAACGGGGACGACCGCAGUGGCUGAGCCCAGGGCAGCAGAGCAGGAGCAGGCAGGUAAAUAACUCAACCCAAAGAGAGGUGGAUGCAGAAGUUACGUGCCGAUGGGUGGCCGUGGCUGCGCGCUCUGGCAGAGUGCCCUAACCACAAGAGCUACGUGGAGAAGUGGAUGCUACGGCCCAGGUGACAUCCGCAGAGGAGGUGGGAGGCAGGCAGCGGGGGGCAGUGGCUGGCGAGAGCCACCAGCAGCUCUGCUCCUGCAGUAAGCGAGCAGCCCUGCGCACGGGGUGCAGCUCAGCACCUGCACCAGCAGAGAGGACAGCGCUGUACAAUUUAGGGUUUGCUCCCACUCUGGCCCAAGGACCAAGUGGUGAAGGCUGGUUUUCC